rnacentral:lncRNA from 1 species
GGAAUACGAAGGGAGAAUGAAACAAAACUGCUCCGCUUAGGGAACUUGGAAAGGAAAUUGAAAAGGCAAGGCACAGGCUGGAAGAAAAUAUUUGAAAAAGAUUUAUGUGAACUUCUUUCUGGAUUAUACAAAAUAUUUUUAGAUAUUCUUACAACUCUAAAAUAAGAUAACUCCUUAAAAAUCUAAAUUCUACCAAAGGAGAGAUAAAGAUGACGAAUACAUUCAAAGAUGCUGAAAAUCACUUAUUUAUUAUUAGGAAGUUACAAGCUAAAGCAUAAUGAGAUACCACUACAACCUACUAAACUGACUAAAAUUAAUCAGACUAACCAGGUGUUGGCAAGAAACAGGGACACUGAGACUCUCACACUGCUGGAAGGAAUGUAAAAUGCUAAAACUUCUUUGGAAAUGAGUUCAGUAACUUUUUAAACAGUUGAAAAUAGACCUAUCAUGCAAACCAGCAAUCCCACUUCCAGGUAUUUAUACAAGGAAAAUGACAACAUAUGCCCACAUAAAGACUUGUGCACAAAUGACCGUAGCAGCUUUGUGAUAAUUGCUAAAAACUAGAAACUUGUCAAGUGUCCAACAGACACAGGGUCUCCCUAUGUUGCCCAGGCUGGUAUCGAACUCUGUUGCCCAGGCUGGUAUUGAACUCCUGCGCUCAAGUGAUCCUCCUGCCUCAGCCUCCCAAAAUGCUGGGAUUACAGGUGUGAACCACUCUACCCAGCCCCUCCUUGCUCAUUCGUAAUGAAACAACGCUUUGUAAACCGUGAAAGUGCUAUAUAAAGAUAUCUUUAAAAUACCAAAGAAGUCCC